rnacentral:rRNA from 1 species
AGUACGUGAAACUGCUUAGAGGUUAAGCCCGAUGAACCUGAAUAUCCAUUAUGGAAAAUUCAUCAUUAAUAAUAUAAUAUUUUAAAAAUAUUAUGUAAAUAGUGUGCAAUUUUUCCAUAUAAGGACAUUGUAAUCUGUUAAUGUUAUAAAUAUUUAUCAAAAGAUCUAAAACUUAAUGUUUAUUUAAAUUAGUUAUUUUCGGAUUUCUAACAUAAAAUAAUUGUUUUAGAUUUGAUAAAUCAUUGACAGAUAUAAUUAUAUAAUGUGCUUAUAAUUCUUCGGAAUUUUACAAUAAUAUAUAAAUCUAUUGAUUUAUUUAUUUAUAAUUGUAUGCGCUAUUAUGAUUAACAAUGCGAUAGAUUCAGGAUACCUUCGGGACCCGUCUUGAAACACGGACCAAGGAGUCUAACAUAUGUGCAAGUCAUUGAGUAUUUUUAAUAAAACUUAAUGGCAUAAUUAACUUAACUUUAUUUUAAUGGGAUUAGUUUAAAUUUUUUUAAUGAAAAUUUUUAUUCAAUCCCGGGGCGUUCUAUAUAGUUAUGUAUAAUAAUAUUUAUAUUAUUUAUGCCUCUAACUAGAGCGUACCUUGAGC